AUGUUGAUUUUUAUAAGGUUGAAGAGCAGUUAGCAGUGCAUUGAUGGACAUCUUUAAACUAUUAAUUGAAGAAUCUUUGGUCAUGAACUAGAAACGUGAGCUCCAGGUGAGACUGCACAUAAGAACAAGUGUCCUUAAACUGCAUCAACUGAUGACGUCUUACAAUUUUAUUCUACUGUGUGUUUUCACCAUUGAACGUUUAUGUCCUUGUGUACACAUACUAACACAAGCUACUGUAACUUAGAGAAGCUCACCAGUAUAUUAUUAAGUACACAAACAGUUCCAGGUGCUUGACUGUUUGAAGGGCCCACUUUGGAUCAUGUGAAGGACGUUCAGUUUUUUGUUGCAAACUGUUUGCAAGAAGUACACUGUUAUCACACCACAGUGAGCCAGUUGCAUGAACAGCAGCCUAAUCAGACUUCUGCAGAGUCUCAAAGGUUUUUUGGAGUCUGCUUCUUGUGUCCAACAGGAAGAAUUCUGUCCAUAAACAAAGGAUUUUAAAAUGUACCUUUGUUUUUCUUUUUACUUUUGUAAAGUAACCUAAAAUUAUUAUUGCCUCAAAGGGAUUUAUACUCUGAGCUAUGUUUUUUUUUGUUUUUUAAAUGUUGUUCUAAGCGGCCAACAAAUUGUUAAUGCAUGAUUAAAGUGAAUUGUUAAUUUAUGGUUUCUGGUUUUACUAUAAACAGACUGGGGACGCUUGUGUUUUCUUUCUUCCUCAAAUGAUCAGAUAAGACUUGAUUAAAAGAAAUAAUGCAAAGGCAUUUUGCUGUGUUCACAGAGGGUCUUGAGGGUUUGUGUAAACAGAAAGAUGUUGGCGAUGGUGUGUAUGGAUUUGAGUAUUAGCCCACCACACCUGGAACAUAUUCCAUGCAGCUACACAUGGGCAUGCAAACAGUACAAUAACUGGAAUACUCCAACUUGCCAUUGUGACUGAUCAUUCUAUGCUCUGUUUAGUCCCAUGGAGGCUAAGAUUGGCACUGAGGCUGGCCAGCAGAAGGUGAGGGCCUGGGGUCCUGGACUGGAAGGAGGCGUUGUUGGUAAAUCUGCUGACUUUGUGGUGGAGGCUGUUGGAGACAAUGUUUCUCUCAGACCAAGAUUGAAUGUGAUGACAAGGGUGAUGGAUGGUGUGACAUGCGCUGCGGGCCCACAGAACCAGAAUAGUUUUCUCUAGGGUUAAGGCGUACGGUCCAGGCCUUCAGAGCAGUGGUCUGGCUGUUGGAAAACCCACUGAAUUCACAGUUGAUGCCAAGCAAGGAGGAAAAGCUCCUCUGAAAAUUAUAGCCCAGGAUGGUGAAGUCAAUUCUGUGGAUGUCCAGGUUAAGGAUAAUGGCAACAGCACAUACACCUGCACCUACACCCCACGUAAGCCUGUGAAGCAGACUGUGAUGGUCUCCUGGGGAGACUGAGAGUCCAUUCAGGAUGAAUAUCGGAGCAGGCUGUCAUCCAAACAAGGACAAAGGCUGUUUGGGUUUAGGCUAUUCCAAUGACACCGUUCAGGGUCAAAGUGGAUCCUUCUCAAGGCAGAGGGACCAGGACUCAGCCGCAGUGGUAAGAAUACCUGUACUGCCUCACAAAGUCAGAGAGUACUAACAAAAAACAGUCUGUUUAUUUAGUUUAUUGGUCUAUAAUACGGUCGGAAUGUUUUCCGUCAUACUACAUGGAACAACUCUUCAUAACACUUUUAUGAAAAUGUUUGACGAAAUUGACAAGAUCAAAAUUGAAAAUCACAAUCGCAAGGAUUUAAAAACAAGAAUAAACAUGAAAAAAGGGUUAUAGUUUUUAUGCUAAUGUAAACAGGUCCUUUUGAGCCUUCACUUGAACUGUGUACCAGUCAAAGCAGUAGUAGCAGCAGUUUCCAAAGAUGAGUCACAAAAAAAAGGGUAUAUUCUGGACUAUUUGUUAUUUGAACCAGUAAGCCACUGUUCCUGCUCUUUAGUUUAGGAAAAUAUUUGUCAUCCAGGUGGUGAUGGUGGGGUUGUGUUGUUUUGUUUGUUUGUUCAUUUUUUUUUGAGGGGCGGGGGGGUUUAAAGCCAACACGCCAUCACCAGCUAACAAGCACUGGGUGCUGCCCCUCUGCAAAUCCUGUUAAUCUAAAGAAAGGAGGAGAUGGGAAGUAAAAUGGCUCAUUGUAGUAUUAGGAUGACGUGAAGCUCUCCAUUACAGGCGUAGCUCGGGCCUGAACAAACCCACUCGUUUCACUGUGAGCACUAAAGGAGCAGGAAAGGGAAACUUGGACUGCAACUUCAGCGGCCCAACCAAAGAAGAGGCUGUGAAAGACUUUGAAAUCAUCAACAACCACAACCUCGUUCUUCUGGCUGUUAUGCAGCAUAUUAAAUGGGAGAAUGUGGAUCGCUUCCCUUUCCCGUGACAGGGUCCCCUGGGAAUUGUGUGACCUACGGUGGAGAUCACAUUCCCAAGAGCCCUUUCAGUGUCAGCGUGGCAGCCACACUGGACCUUAGCAAGGUCAAGGUGACAGGCCUGGGAGACAGUAUGUACCUCUGUCAUUGUUCUUGUACAUCCACACCUUCUGACACCAAACCUCAGGCUACAUAAAGCCUAGUGAUAACCUAUGAAACCAUUAUUUGCUUUUAAAUGUUUGUCUAAGCAUGAAUAUUUUUACGAUGGCUUUUUCCCGCCCUUGUACAGUUGCCAGUAUAUUGAUGCUUUUAUUAUUUUUUUAAAUGAAUCUAAGCUUUUCGAGCAGAUCAGAGGUGUCAGUGUAUUUUCUUUGGUCUCUGUUCUGGCAGAGAUAGCUGUUGGCAAAGACCAGCUUGUGCUGCUGCUUGUUUCUUCCUCCCCAUUAUCACCACAGCUUUAUUCAAAGAAGAUGAUCUGAACUUUUGGCUCGUCUGUCCAAUAGUGUAGAUUAUUGCAGAAUUCAGAUCAAAUUAGGGCCCAAACUUGUGUAAGUAACUUUAUGAAGGGAAUAAAGGGAACUCUGCCAGCUGACAGCUGAGCUGUGUAAAACCUAAAUUACAGUAGACUGGUCUCAUUUUGAAGGUUAUAUGGGCUUAUGAUUAUAUUUAGAGAUACAACUGUGUACUGUAUGUUCUAUGUCCUGUUUUUUAGGGGUCUUCUGUGAGGCAACAACAGACUUCCCUGUGGAUGCAUAAAUGAGUUUGCACUCCAUGUUUUGAGGGUCAUGAGCUGCGCCUGGCGCUAAGGCUGGGCUAAAAUAUUGCAGGAAUCUCCUUUGUUCCCAAGGAGAUUGGUGAGCACCUUGUUAACAUCAAGAAGAACGGUCGUCAUGUUCCCAUCAGCCCAGUUGCUGUUAAUCAGAGAUUGGUGAUGCGAACCGUGUGCGUGUGAGUGGACCGGGCUGAGCGAGGCCAGGACUUUUGAGCCUACAGAGUUCUCAGCCUCAAGAUCCCAGAGAUCAGCAUAGCGGAGGGGACCGCUCAGGUGACCAGACCCUCUGGACAGGUUCACAAGGCUGACAUGAUGGAGGGAGAGAAUAACACCUUGUGCCUACUGAGACUGGUGUGCAUACCGUGUGCGUGAAAUACAAUGCCGCACCUGGUUCAAAUUUCACAUACAAUUAUACAGUAUACACACUUGCUGCUAGAUGGUAAUCGACUUCAGGAGAACAAGGCGAUCUGAGCCUCUACCUUCGACACUGAUGGGGAGCAGGUAUAAAGGGUAGAAAGUUUUAAGUUUCUCAGAGUCCACGUCUCGGCCGACCUUACCUGGUCCACGAACAUUUCCCACCAGGUAGGGAAAGCACAACAAAGGCUGUACUUUCUCAGGAAGCUGCAUCAGGCACAAUUAUCCCAGAGACUGCUAGUAAACUUCUACCGCUCCACCAUCGAGAGCCUUCUGACCUACUGCUGCACACUCUGGUUCAACUGCUGCACUGUGGAGGACAAGAGGAAACUGCAGUGGGUGGUGAGGAAAGCAGAGCGGGCAAUUGGCACUUCACUAAUUCCCCUCAGAGACAUUUAUACUGGCAGACUUCAGCGGAAAGCCAGUACCAUCAUCAUCAAGGACCCCUCGCACCCUGGACACUCACUUUUCCCCCCUUCCCUCUGAUAAACGCUACAGGUCCAUCAGGUCAAAGACAAACAGACUCAAUAGAAGCUUCUUGUCAUGAUCCUGGGCCAUGUUGGCCCAGCAUUCUUAGUAGUUGUGUAUUUUUGUAUUUUGCUCUUUAUUUAUGCAUUGGUUCCUAGGUUGUUCAGUUAAGAUGUUCCUUAUUUGGUUACCUUCUGUGUGCCCUUCCGUAUCUGUGAACCCUCGUUUCCCCUCCUUGUGUUUUAGUUCAUGCUUUCCCCAGCCCGCUGUGUCGUGCACUCGCUCCUCCUGUCUGAACCUCUGUACUUCCUGUUUUACUUUGUCAGUCUCCCGUCAGUGUUGCGUUCACUCCUGCCGUGUCUUGUUAUGAUUAUCAGUGUCACCUGUGUUCCCCGUGUGCUCCCACUUCCCUCGUUAACCCUCUGUGUAUUUAUGUCUGUGUCUCCCUCAGUUCUGUGUCGCGUUCUCCCUCCUGCUGUGUGUGAUUCUCCCCGUGUCUCCUGGUAUGCUUUAUGAUUAGUUUUCCCAGUUUAGUUUUGUAUUGUUUGUGAUCUGUUUCCAGCAAUAAAGCUGUGCUUUUGAGUUCAA